UCGCCUGUUUAUCAAAAACAUGUCUUUUUGUUUUAUAAUAUAAAGUUUAGCCUGCCCAAUGAAUUUUUAAAUGGCUGCAGUAUUUUGACUGUACUAAGGUAGCAUAAUCAAUAGUUUUUUAAUUGAAAGCUGGAAUGAAAGGCUGGACGAGAAAGAAACUGUCUCUUUAUAAAUAUAUUAAAAUUUUAUUUUUAAGUUAAAAAGCUUAAAUUAAAUUAAAAGACGAGAAGACCCUAUAGAGUUUUAUAUAAAUAUUAAAAAUUUAUUUAUAGAAUUUUAAAUAAAUUUUUAAUAUUUUUAUUUUAUUGGGGUGAUGAAAAAAUUUAAUAAACUUUUUUUUUAAAAAAACAUAAAUGUAUGAAUUUUUGAUCCAAAAAUAUUUGAUUAAAAGAUUAAAUUACCUUAGGGAUAACAGCGUAAUUUUUUUAAAGAGUUCUUAUUGAUAAAAAAGUUUGCGACCUCGAUGUUGGAUUAAAAUUUUAUUUUAGGUGAAGAAGCUAUAAAAUUUGGUCUGUUCGACCAUUAAAAUUUUACAUGAUCUGAGUUCAAACCGGAGA
rnacentral:rRNA from 1 species